CCUUCCAAGCAAGGGGAAAGGAAGGCGAAAAGUUGACGGUAACCUGCGGAAGAAAGUACCCGGCUAACUUACGUGCCCAGCAGCCGCGGUUAAUACGUAGGGGUACGAGCGGUUGUUCCGGUAAUUUAUUGGGGCGUUAAAGAGCUCGUUAGGGUGGUUUGGGUCACGUCUGGCUGUGGAAACGCAACGCUUAACGUUUGCGCCGUGCAGUGGGUACGGGCUGACUAGAGUGCAGUAGGGGAGUCUGGAAUUUCCUGGUGUAGCGGUGAAAUGCGCAGAUAUCAGGAGGAACACCGGUGGCGAAGGCGGGACUCUGGGCUGUAACUGACACUGAGGAGCGAAAGCAUGGGGAGCGAACAGGAUUAGAUACCCUGGUAGUCCAUGCCGUAAACGUUGGGCACUAGGUGUGGGGGACAUUCCACGUUCUCCGCGCCGUAGCUAACGCAUUAAGUGCCCCGCCUGGGGAGUACGGUCGCAAGGCUAAAACUCAAAGGAAUUGACGGGGGCCCGCACAAGCGGCGGAGCAUGCGGAUUAAUUCGAUGCAACGCGAAGAACCUUACCAAGGCUUGACAUACACUGGACCGUUCUGGAAACAGUUCUUCUCUUUGGAGCUGGUGUACAGGUGGUGCAUGGUUGUCGUCAGCUCGUGUCGUGAGAUGUUGGGUUAAGUCCCGCAACGAGCGCAACCCUCGUUCUAUGUUGCCAGCACGUGAUGGUGGGAACUCAUAGGAGACUGCCGGGGUCAACUCGGAGGAAGGUGGGGAUGACGUCAAAUCAUCAUGCCCUUUAUGUCUUGGGCUUCACGCAUGCUACAAUGGCUGGUACAGAGAGAGGCGAACCCGUGAGGGUAAGCGAAUCCCUUAAAGCCAGUCUCAGUUCGGAUCGUAGUCUGCAAUUCGACUACGUGAAGUCGGAGUCGCUAGUAAUCGCAGAUCAGCAACGCUGCGGUGAAUACGUUCCCGGGCCUUGUACACACCGCCCGUCAAGUCACGAAAGUCGGUAACACCCGAAGCCGGUGUCCCAACCCACUUGUGGGAGGGGCCGUCUAAUGUGAUC
rnacentral:rRNA from 1 species